GACGAACGCUGGCGGCGUGCUUAACACAUGCAAGUCGAACGGAAAGGCCCUGCUUUUGUGGGGUGCUCGAGUGGCGAACGGGUGAGUAACACGUGAGUAACCUGCCCUUGACUUUGGGAUAACUUCAGGAAACUGGGGCUAAUACCGGAUAGGAUCUCCUGCUGCAUGUUGGGGGUUGGAAAGUUUCGGCGGUUGGGUAUGGACUCGCGGCUUAUCAGCUUGUUUGUGGGGUAGUGGCUUACCAAGGCUUUGACGGGUAGCCGGCCUGAGAGGGUGACCGGCCACAAUGGGACUGAGAUACGGCCCAGACUCCUACGGGAGGCAGCAGUGGGGAAUAUUGCACAAUGGGCGGAAGCCUGAUGCAGCAACGCCGCGUGCGGGAUGACGGCCUUCGGGUUGUAAACCGAUUUCGCCUGUGACGAAGCGUGAGUGACGGUAAUGGGUAAAGAAGCACCGGCUAACUACGUG
rnacentral:rRNA from 1 species